GUCUAUGGCCAUACCAGCCUGAACAUGCCCGAGCUCGUCUGAUCUUAGAAGCUAAGCAGGGUUGGGGCCUGGUUAGUACUUGGAUAGAAGAGAGAAGAAUCACUAGACUGUCACCU
rfam:Erinaceus europaeus unplaced genomic scaffold scaffold00066, whole genome shotgun sequence